CUCCUCCCAAAGAGUAACGGAGGAGCACGAAGGUGGGCUAAUCACGGUUGGACAUCGUGAGGUUAGUGCAAUGGCAUAAGCCCGCUUGACUGCGAGAAUGACAAUUCGAGCAGGUGCGAAAGCAGGUCAUAGUGAUCCGGUGGUUCUGAAUGGAAGGGCCAUCGCUCAACGGAUAAAAGGUACUCCGGGGAUAACAGGCUGAUACCGCCCAAGAGUUCAUAUCGACGGCGGUGUUUGGCACCUCGAUGUCGGCUCAUCACAUCCUGGGGCUGAAGUCGGUCCCAAGGGUAUGGCUGUUCGCCAUUUAAAGUGGUACGCGAGCUGGGUUUAGAACGUCGUGAGACAGUUCGGUCCCUAUCUGCCGUGGGCGUUGGAAGAUUGAAGGGGGCUGCUCCUAGUACGAGAGGACCGGAGUGGACGAACCUCUGGUGUUCGGGUUGUGUCGCCAGACGCAUUGCCCGGUAGCUAAGUUCGGAAUCGAUAACCGCUGAAAGCAUCUAAGCGGGAAGCGAGCCCUGAGAUGAGUCUUCCCUGAUACUUUAAGUAUCCUAAAGGGUUGUCGGAGACUACGACGUUGAUAGGUCAGGUGUGUAAGUGCUGUGAGGCAUUGAGCUAACUGAUACUAAUUGCCCGUGAGGCUUAAC
rnacentral:rRNA from 1 species